rfam:Pteropus vampyrus cont1.177239, whole genome shotgun sequence.
AAUCCUGAUAUACCUGGGAUUAGGUGCUUUUAACCCGAAAAAUGUACAUAUCCAUUCGACACUCCUGAGGGACUUGAGAACGUCCUUCUCAAGUAAAGUUGUGAUGUCUUAAGAUUUGGAGAAUUAAG